UACGUAGGGUGCAAGCGUUAUUCGGAAUUACUGGGCGUAAAGCGUGCGCAGGCGGUUUUGGAAGUCUGUCGUGAAAUCCCCGGGCUUAACCUGGGAAUUGCGAUGGAGACUGCAAGGCUAGAAUCUGGCAGAGGGGGGUAGAAUUCCACGUGUAGCAGUGAAAUGCGUAGAGAUGUGGAGGAACACCGAUGGCGAAGGCAGCCCCCUGGGUCAAGAUUGACGCUCAUGCACGAAAGCGUGGGGAGCAAACAGG
rnacentral:rRNA from 1 species